rnacentral:rRNA from 1 species
UAGCCGUAAACGAUACUCGCUAGGUGUCGGCCACGGUGCGACCGUUGUCGGUGCCGUAGGGAAGCCGUGAAGCGAGCCACCUGGGAAGUACGGCCGCAAGGCUGAAACUUAAAGGAAUUGGCGGGGGAGCACAACAACGGGUGGAGCUUGCGGUUUAAUUGGAUUCAACGCCGGAAAUCUUACCGGGACCGACAGCAACAUGAAGGCCAAGCUGAAGACUUUGCCGGAUUAGCUGAGAGGAGGUGCAUGGCGUAGUCGUU